AACGAACGCUGGCGGCAGGCUUAACACAUGCAAGUCGAGCGAGACCUUCGGGUCUAGCGGCGGACGGGUGAGUAACGCGUGGGAACGUGCCCUUCUCUACGGAAUAGCCCCGGGAAACUGGGAGUAAUACCGUAUACGCCCUUUGGGGGAAAGAUUUAUCGGAGAAGGAUCGGCCCGCGUUGGAUUAGGUAGUUGGUGGGGUAAUGGCCCACCAAGCCGACGAUCCAUAGCUGGUUUGAGAGGAUGAUCAGCCACACUGGGACUGAGACACGGCCCCGACUCCUGCGGGAGGCAGCAGUGGGUGAUCUUAGACAGUGGGGGCAACCCUGAUCUAGCCAUGCCGCGUGAGUGAUGAAGGCCUUAGGGUUGUAAAGCUCUUUCAGCUGGGAAGAUAAUGACGGUACCAGCAGAAGAAGCCCCGGCUAACUCCGUG
rnacentral:rRNA from 1 species